rnacentral:rRNA from 1 species
CGAACGCUGGCGGCGUGCUUAACACAUGCAAGUCGAACGGUGAAGCGCCUUCCUUUUUGGUGGGUGUGGAUGAGUGGCGAACGGGUGGGUAACACGUGAGUAACCUGCCCCCUUCUUCUGGAUAACCGCAUGAAAGUGUGGCUAAUACGGGAUAUUCUGGGUCUGUCGCAUGAUGGGUCUGGGAAAGAUAUUGUUUCGGUGGGGGAUGGGCUCGCGGCCUAUCAGCUUGUUGGUGGGGUGAUGGCCUACCAAGGCGGUGACGGGUAGCCGGCCUGAGAGGGUGGACGGUCACACUGGGACUGAGACACGGCCCAGACUCCUACGGGAGGCAGCAGUGGGGAAUAUUGCACAAUGGGCGCAAGCCUGAUGCAGCGACGCCGCGUGAGGGAUGGAGGCCUUCGGGUUGUGAACCUCUUUCGCCAGUGAAGCAGGCCUGCCUCGUUUGUGGGUGGGUUGACGGUAGCUGGAUAAGAAGCGCCGGCUAACUACGUG